GAUGAAGAACGCAGCGAAAUGCGAUACGUAAUGUGAAUUGCAGAAUUCAGUGAAUCAUCGAGUCUUUGAACGCACAUUGCGCCCCUUGGUAUUCCGAGGGGCAUGCCUGUUCGAGCGUCAUUACACCACUCAAGCUAUGCUUGGUAUUGGGCGUCGUCCUUAGUUGGGCGCGCCUUAAAGACCUCGGCGAGGCCACUCCGGCUUUAGGCGUAGUAGAAUUUAUUCGAACGUCUGUCAAAGGAGAGGAACUCUGCCGACUGAAACCUUUAUUUUUCUAGGUUGACCUCGGAUCAGGUAGGGAUACCCGCUGAACUUAAGCAUAUCAAUAAGCGGAGGA
rnacentral:misc_RNA from 1 species